GGUGAACUUGUUAUGGAUCCCAAAAAGAUUGCUAGAAGGUAUCUGAGAUCAGAUUUCUUCGUAGAUCUUAUAGCUACACUGCCUCUCCCUCAGUUAAAAGCUCCAGUUCUGGCCAUACCCAUAAUGCCCUUGUACUGAUUGUUCUGCUCCAAUAUGUUCCUAGAUUGUAUCUCAUUUUCCCACUAAGUUCUCAGAUCAUCAAAGCCACUGGUGUGGUCACAAAGACAGCUUGGGCCGGGGCUGCGUAUAAUCUCAUACUCUACAGUCUACAUGUUAGCUAGUCAUGUCUUAGGUGCUUCAUGGUACCUAUUAUCAAUCGAACGGUAUGCAACUUGCUGGAAGUCUCAAUGCAGAAAAGAAGUUGACCCCAUCAAGUGUUUUCUCAGCUACUUGGAUUAUGGUUCUUUGAACAAU